rnacentral:rRNA from 1 species
CCUACGGGGGGCAGCAGUGGGGGAUAUUGCACAAUGGGGGGAACCCUGAUGCAGCGACGCCGCGUGGGUGAAGGAGUGCUUCGGCAUGUAAAGCCCUAUCGGCAGGGAAGAAGCAAGACGGUACCUGACUAAGAAGCCUCGGCUAACUACGUGCCAGCAGCCGCGGUAAUACGGAGGGGGCGAGCGUUAUCCGGAUUCACUGGGUGUAAAGGGAGCGUAGGCGGUAAUGCAAGCCAGGGGUGAAAGCCCGGGGCUCAACCCCGGGACUGCCCUUGAAACUGGGCGGCUAGAGUGCGGUAGGGGCAGGGGGAAUUCCUGGUGUAGGAGUGAAAUGCGUAGAUAUCAGGAGGAACACCGGCGGCGAAGGCGGCCUGCUGGACCGCGACUGACGUUGAGGCUCGAAAGCGUGGGGAGCGAACAGGAUUAGAGACCCCAGUAGUC